rnacentral:misc_RNA from 1 species
UUUUUUUUUUUUUUUUAAAGCAGUACAUAAAGAAUAAAAGUUAAAUUUCAUUAGUUUAUUUUAUUUUCCUUUAAAUUAAAUUAGUUUGGUUUUUAAAUUGUUCAUUGGAUAUUAUUAACGAUGAGACUCUAAUGGUUAAGGGGGUCACACAUUAAUCAAUUAGACUCUUUAGACAAUAAUUGUGGUCUAUCUUAAAUUAAACCAUUAAUUUGGGAUAGAUUAAAUUGAGAUCCCUAUUAACUUAAUUAUCAAUUUUAGUUUAAUUUUGAUUUAAUCAUUGAGUUUUAUUUCGAUUACCAAUAAUUUUAUUUUCUCAAUAAAUCAAAUUAAUUUGGAUUUUAGGUGUUUAUUAGUUAUUGUUAAUGAUGAGACUCUAAUGGGUUAAGGGGGCUACCCAUUAAUCAAUUAAACUCUUCAGACAAUAAUUGUUGGUCUAUCUUAAAUUAGGCCACUGAUUUGGGACAGAUUAAAUUGAGAUUCCUAUUAAUUUGAUUUAUCAAUUUUUAUUUAAUUUAUCAAAUUUUGAUCUAAUUUUUAAUUUUAUUUUGAUUACCAAUAAU